CUCAAUCUCGAUCUGUUUCAUCUCAGCCUCUAGCCCCGAGAGGAGCCGCCGCCGCCGCCGAGAGGAGACGCCCCAGCCCCAAGAGGAGCCGUCGCCGCCGCCAAGAGGAGAUGCCCCAGCCCCAAGAGGAGCCACCGCCUCCGCCGCCGCCGCCGAGAGGAGAUGCCUCAGCCCCGAGAGGAGCCGCCGCCGCCUCCGGGGAACGAGGCCGCCGCCGUCACGCACCGCCUCCUCCAGGUCACCGCCGUCACACACUGCCUCAGGUCCGUUGAUCUCUCUCCUCCUCGCCACUCCUCACUGCCAGCCCCGCACUGUGCCGGUGAGCGGCGACGGCGGCGUGGGACGCAGCGGGCCCGAACUGCGUCGACGGAGGCCGGGUCCCUCUCCUCCGUCGAGUAGUGGUGACAGCAUGGGACAUGGCGGGCUAGGCUUGCAUCGUCGGCGGCGGGGUCCAUCUCCUCCCGCGAGCAGCAGCGGCGUGGGACACUGCAGGCUCGGCCGCGAAGAUGGGUUUCUCUGGCGGGGCAUUCGACUCCUCACCUCUGUUCGCAUGUGCACCUGCGGCCGUACCUCCUCAUGGUCAGUGAUGCAGAUGCCGCCGCUGCCGUUCCUCACACAGCUGAGGACGCGGAAGCCGCUGCUCCUCUAAGCGACGGUGAGACACACGACCAUGUGAACACCCCAGGGAGGCACACUGGUAGGGGAUGCACCAUGUAGCGUGUGGAUUCCCACCAAAUGUUCGAUGAGUUACCCUAAUUGAUCUUUCUAUAUACCUAGCCCUCUCUGUUUCAGUCUCUCUCUACUCUUAUUUUGUUUCAGUUUUUUGCGAGAUUUAACACUGACAUUUGUUCAAAUCCUAUCUAGGUAACAACUCCAGAGGAAUCAGUAUGUUGUUGUGUUUCUAUAUGUUCUUGCAGGGGCAUUGCUUUAAUUUGAGAAGGCUCUAUAUAACAUGGGAAAUAGUUACUACUGAAGAAAUCAUUUCUGCAACACUCGAUUUUGAGUCUGCACUUGCUAAAAGAGAUUCACCCAAAUCAAUAUACUCCUGAUUGUUUGAUUGGUAUCGUCCUCUCGCAGAGAACCCCAAUUAGAUUCUUUUUACUUCCUAAUCUUCACAUUUUGCAUUUUAAUUAUUAUCCUAUAUGCACAGGAUCGUUGAAAAAUAAAAAUAUUAUUAAUGUCUACAUUGGAAAGGAUCCAAACUCUGAAUAAGUGAUUGGUGAAUAAUUUUUUAUCUAGGUUCAGAAGUUGAUAAUCCACUAUAGUUCUUUCAUUGUGCAGGCAAACUCAGGUACGAUGAAACGGGUUUCUUUUGCUUCUGCCGUCACAUUGGUGAAUAUGACUUUGAAUCUCAACUGCACUUGACUGCACCUUCUAUCUUGAUUUGCUUGACAACUUAUAAUUUGCACAAGCAUUCCCCUGCAUAGUUUGUCCAUGGUCUGAAAGAACAAUUCCUGAUGAUAUAUUCCGAAUUAGGUUGUUGCCUGGAUCCUAUGGACAAUAUGUACGGUCACAAUGUCGAUAUCUGUUACCAUCAAUUGACGACUUCAAAUUAUUCAAGAGUGUGCGAUACACAAGGAUGUGUUGGUUCAUGAUGGGUCGACCUUAAAAUCUUGACAAUUACCCUUGACACAACACAUGGGAUGUGCUCUAUCCUGCUUUUUUGGUCCAUUAUUUUAUAUAUGUUUUUCACCUCGGAGAGUUUAUUAAAGUUCAGCUGGGUUAUAACAAGAGAUGCAAAUAAAGAACUUUAUUAUGAUUUUUCAUAAAAUAAAUAUGUACUUCCAACUACCUUGAAAGUUAUCGAUUAUAUGCUUGAAUAAUCUCUACUCCUAAAGUUUUCUUCGAAGGUGCUCAUCACAUUUGUCGAUACACAAACACCCCACUUAUUGAUGGUUUACAGACCUUUAUCACAAGAUGGACGAGCUUGGCUUCUCAGUCAGUACUCUGCCUCAUCAACAGUUUGAUGUCCCUUGGCAUGAAGUUAGGCCAACAUCAGAAGAUUCGUAGCCUUUUUGAGGAGAUGAAGGUGAAGAAUAUUAAGCCGGAUAACCUCACAUGAUGCCUUCUAAUGACCAGCCAUGCGGCAUUGAACAAGAUAGAUGUUGGAGAAGUUUUAAAAGAAAUGCAAGAAAAGGAUGUAGUUCCAGGGUGGUCUGCAUAUAGCAUGGCUUCUAUCUACCUGAGUGCUGGUUUGGUUUAAAAAAACAGUCUACUCUGAAGGACUCGAGGGCCUUGAUUUUAGAAGGAGUUGUUAUGGACCAUCUGGUUUUCUUCAUGAAUCCACACCACCGGAAAUUCUAAUGGAGACCAUCCACCUGACGUCCUUCUUACGACAACCUCACAUGCUGCCUUCUAAUGACGAGCCACUACAUUUGGUUACUCAGAUUCUUCUACAUGGUGACUAUUGAUGCAAAAGGAUUGCACUUCCAUCUCAAUCACUGCAUUUGGUUACUCAGAUUGCAACGAAUUAUCUUUAUUUCAAUCAGCGCCACGACGACCGCUGCCUCCCCGCCGCCGACGCUCCAGAUCCGCCCGUCGUUGACCCCCUCUACAUCAGUGAUCGAUCAAGGCAGGGGCAUGGCGAUAUCCAUCUUUCCGCGUGUACGGUGGCCGGUGCCCGCGUCCGUGUAUCCUGCACCAAGGGUGUCGUAUUCAUCUCAAGGAGGUCCUCUCAGUCCUUCCCGGUGAUGAUGCCGAGUCGGGAUUCCUCCUCCCACAGAUCCGUUGAUCCAUGGUUAGAUCUCAAGGAGGAGGGGCGUGAGGCGAUUGCCACCGUCAGUGCCUGCACUGGAAGGUCUCCGGCGCCUGCUCCAACCAGAUCCAGCCGGACCCAUCCUGCGUCUGCCAUCCCAUUGCGAUAUGCGUGCUGCUCCUGUUGUGCACUUGCUGAUUAAGCCGCUGCUUGUGCAAAAUAUGCCUACUGCUACCCGGGCUCACAUGACCCAGAGGAGGAAGGAGCUGCGCAAGGAAUCACUGCCAGAAGACUCAAUACGAGUUUGAAGAGUCCUGGACUCUAGGCCAAGUUCCGCAAGGAAGCUAGCCGAGGGUUCAUUUUGACCCAACCAAGCAGCUUUGGCGAUCACGGAGGAGAACCCGCUGUUCCUAAUGGCCUGACGCACGGUCAAUCACAAGUCCUCCAACGGGUGGAGCUGGUUCAGGAUUUGACACAUCUCCACUUGCAAGGCUACAACCAGAUAUAGUCCUUAGAUUGAUUAAUUACACACACGUACACGGAAAUAUAUCACUUGAAAUGUGUGAUUUGCAUCGAGAAGAACAUCGAGAUAGGAUCAGAGCAUGUGCACUGCUUUAUAGUCUACAUCAACAAACCAUUGGCGAGCAUGUUGAGACCAUGAACCCACGUGGGACCUCCAAAGAACUUGAAAAUUACCGACAUUGCCAGCAAGGUUGCGGUGAAUUAAAGAGAUUUAAUCAAUCCAGAGAUGUUGUAAAUUGAUACAAUUGAACCACAUACUUGGAGAGACGAUGCCGUUGACUUCCGCAACGAUGAGCAAGGUGGCGAAUACCCGCUAGAGAGUGGAGAACUUCUAGCACCACUCGAUAGCCAGAUCAUCAACCAUGUAAGGUCCACUGGGUCCAGAUGUGCAAGGCAAACACGCAGAGGUCUUCGAGAGGCUUGUGCAGACGGAGCUUACAGCCAGAUCCAAGCGGAUACACCAUCCAUAGCUGGCCUAUGCUGGGUGGCGGCAUGUAUGAGCCUGAGCUUGACAUGAACGUGAGGGAUAGAUGAUUGACGAAGAACGACUUCGUUGUAUCCGUCGACGCCAUACCCCUUUCCAAAACAAACGACCUUCUCUUGUGUCCAUGAACUUUUGUUAGCGUUUAGUGAAUCAUGCAAUAGCUACAAGAUAGCUUGUUGGGGGAGUUUCCCCGGUGCUGGUGUUACUUGUAUGUACUUUGUGUCUGAAAUGGAUGGAUGGGUGUUGUACUUC